AACGUUCGGAAACGGACGCUAAUACCGCAUACGUCCUACGGGAGAAAGCAGGGGACCUUCGGGCCUUGCGCUAUCAGAUGAGCCUAGGUCGGAUUAGCUAGUUGGUGGGGUAAUGGCUCACCAAGGCGACGAUCCGUAACUGGUCUGAGAGGAUGAUCAGUCACACUGGAACUGAGACACGGUCCAGACUCCUACGGGAGGCAGCAGUGGGGAAUAUUGGACAAUGGGCGAAAGCCUGAUCCAGCCAUGCCGCGUGUGUGAAGAAGGUCUUCGGAUUGUAAAGCACUUUAAGUUGGGAGGAAGGGCCAUUACCUAAUACGUGAUGGUUUUGACGUUACCGACAGAAUAAGCACCGGCUAACUCUGUGCCAGCAGCCGCGGUAAUACAGAGGGUGCAAGCGUUAAUCGGAAUUACUGGGCGUAAAGCGCGCGU
rnacentral:rRNA from 1 species